CAGCACGGGAAUACGAAGGGUGCAAGCGUUAAUCGGAAUUACUGGGCGUAAAGCGUGCGUAGGCGGUUUGUUAAGUCUGCUGUGAAAUCCCCGGGCUCAACCUGGGAAUGGCAGUGGAUACUGGCAAGCUAGAGUGUGUCAGAGGAUGGUGGAAUUCCCGGUGUAGCGGUGAAAUGCGUAGAGAUCGGGAGGAACAUCAGUGGCGAAGGCGGCCAUCUGGGACAACACUGACGCUGAGGCACGAAAGCGUGGGGAGCAAACAGGAUUAGAUACCCGAGUAGUCCCUGUCUCUUAUACACAU
rnacentral:rRNA from 1 species